GUGCUUGCUUUGGCAGCGCAUAUACUAAAA
rnacentral:snRNA from 1 species